rnacentral:rRNA from 1 species
AAUCUUGCACAAUGGAGGAAACUCUGAUGCAGCGAUGCCGCGUGAGUGAAGAAGGCCCUUGGGUUGUAAAGCUCUUUCGUCGGGGAAGAAAAUGACUGUACCCGAAUAAGAAGGUCCGGCUAACUUCGUGCCAGCAGCCGCGGUAAUACGAAGGGACCUAGCGUAGUUCGGAAUUACUGGGCUUAAAGAGUUCGUAGGUGGUUGAAAAAGUUGGUGGUGAAAUCCCAGAGCUUAACUCUGGAACUGCCAUCAAAACUUUUCAGCUAGAGUAUGAUAGAGGAAAGCAGAAUUUCUAGUGUAGAGGUGAAAUUCGUAGAUAUUAGAAAGAAUACCAAUUGCGAAGGCAGCUUUCUGGAUCAUUACUGACACUGAGGAACGAAAGCAUGGGUAGCGAAGAGGAUUAGAUACCCUCGUAGUCCAUGCCGUAAACGAUGUGUGUUAGACGUUGGAAAUUUAUUUUCAGUGUCGCAGCGAAAGCGAUAAACACACCGCCUGGGGAGUACGACCGCAAGGUUAAAACUCAAAUGAAUUGACGGGGACCCGCACAAGUAGUGGAGCAUGUGGUUUAAUUCGAAGAUACGCGCAGAACCUUACCAACACUUGACAUGUUCGUCGCGACUCUAAGAGAUUAGAGUUUUCGGUUCGGCCGGACGAAACACAGGUGCUGCAUGGCUGUCGUCAGCUCGUGUCGUGAGAUGUUGGGUUAAGUCCCGCAACGAGCGCAACCCUCACUUUUAGUUGCCAUCAUUAAGUUGGGCACUCUGAAAGAACUGCCAGUGAUAAGCUGGAGGAAGGUGGGGAUGACGUCAAGUCCUCAUGGCCCUUACGUGUUGGGCUACACACGUGCUACAAUGGUAUCGACAACAGGAAGCAAGACUGCGAGGUCAAGCAAAUCCCUAAAAGAUACCUCAGUUCGGAUUGCACUCUGCAACUCGAGUGCAUGAAGCUGGAAUUACUAGUAAUCGUGGAUCAGCGUGCCACGGUGAAUGCGUUCCCGGGUCUUGUACACACCCCCCGUCACACCAUGGGAGUUGGUUCUACCUUAAGGCAAGGUUUAAUACCCUUGACCACGGUAUAGUCAGCGACUGGGGUGAAGUCGUAACAAGGUAGCCGUAGGGGAACCUGCGGCUGGAUUACCUCCUUU